AUUGAACGCUGGCGGCAUGCUUUCCCAAUGAAGGUCGAACGGUAACAGGGGGCUUGCUCCGCUGAGGGUGGGCGAAGGGGUAGGUAUGCGGUGGAAACGGGCGGAGUGGUGGGGGAAAAGGCAUCAAAGGUUGUGUUAUUACCGAAUAGGUACGGGGGAAGAAAGUGGGGGACCUUCGGGCUCCACGCAAUUGUACCGGCGGACGGCUGAUUAGCUAGUUGGCGAGGUAAAGGCUCACCAAGGCGACGAUCAGUAGCGGGUCUGAGAGGAUGAUCCGCCACACUGGGACUGAGACACGGCCCAGACUCCUACGGGAGGCAGCAGUGGGGAAUUUUGGACAAUGGGCGCAAGCCUGAUCCAGCCAUGCCGCGUGUCUGAAGAAGGCCUUCGGGUUGUAAAGGACUUUUGUCCGGGAGCAAAUGCUGGUGGCUAACAUCCACCGGAGCUGAGAGUACCGGAAGAAUAAGCACCGGCUAACUACGUGCCAGCCGCCGCGGUAACAC
rnacentral:rRNA from 1 species